rnacentral:rRNA from 1 species
CGCCUACGGGAGGCAGCAGUGGGGAAUAUUGGACAAUGGGCGAAAGCCUGAUCCAGCCAUGCCGCGUGUGUGAAGAAGGUCUUCGGAUUGUAAAGCACUUUAAGUUGGGAGGAAGGGCAGUAAGCUAAUACCUUGCUGUUUUGACGUUACCAACAGAUAAGCACCGGCUAACUCUGUGCCAGCAGCCGCGGUAAUACAGAGGGUGCAAGCGUUAAUCGGAAUUACUGGGCGUAAAGCGCGCGUAGGUGGUUCAGCAAGUUGUAUGUGAAAUCCCCGGGCUCAACCUGGGAACUGCAUCCAAAACUACUGGGCUAGAGUACGGUAGAGGGUGGUGGAAUUUCCUGUGUAGCGGUGAAAUGCGUAGAUAUAGGAAGGAACACCAGUGGCGAAGGCGACCACCUGGACUGAUACUGACACUGAGGUGCGAAAGCGUGGGGAGCAAACAGGAUUAGAUACCCGGGUAGUC